rnacentral:rRNA from 1 species
CCGAGUUUACAACUCCCAAACCCAAUGUGAACGUUACCAAACUGUUGCCUCGGCGGGAUCUCUGCCCCGGGUGCGUCGCAGCCCCGGACCAAGGCGCCCGCCGGAGGACCAACCAAAACUCUUAUUGUAUACCCCCUCGCGGGUUUUUUUAUAAUCUGAGCCUUCUCGGCGCCUCUCGUAGGCGUUUCGAAAAUGAAUCAAAACUUUCAACAACGGAUCUCUUGGUUCUGGCAUCGAUGAAGAACGCAGCGAAAUGCGAUAAGUAAUGUGAAUUGCAGAAUUCAGUGAAUCAUCGAAUCUUUGAACGCACAUUGCGCCCGCCAGUAUUCUGGCGGGCAUGCCUGUCCGAGCGUCAUUUCAACCCUCGAACCCCUCCGGGGGGUCGGCGUUGGGGAUCGGCCCUGCCUUGGCGGUGGCCGUCUCCGAAAUACAGUGGCGGUCUCGCCGCAGCCUCUCCUGCGCAGUAGUUUGCACACUCGCAUCGGGAGCGCGGCGCGUCCACAGCCGUUAAACACCCAACUUCUGAAAUGUUGACCUCGGAUCAGGUAGGAAUACCCGCUGAACUUAAGCAUAUCAAUAAGGCCGGAGGAA